rnacentral:rRNA from 1 species
CGCAGCCGCGGUAAUUCCAGCUCCAAUAGCGUAUAUUAAAGUUGUUGCAGUUAAAAAGCUCGUAGUUGAAUUUCGGAAUCAAUGGAUCGGUCAUGCCACUCGGUGUGUACUGGUUUGAUUGGUUCUCACCUUCUAAGGAACCGUGAUGUCAUUAAUUUGGUGUCGCGGGGAAUUAGGACUGUUACCUUGAAAAAAUUAGAGUGUUUAAAGCAAGCUCACGCUUGAAUACAUUAGCAUGGAAUAAUGAAAUAGGACAUUGUAUUCUAUUUUGUUGGUUUCUAGGAUCGAUGUAAUGAUUAAUAGGGAUAGUUGGGGGCAUUAGUAUUCAAUUGUCAGAGGUGAAAUUCUUGGAUUUAUUGAAGACUAACUACUGCGAAAGCAUUUGCCAAGGAUGUUUUCAUUAAUCAAGAACGAAAGUUAGGGGAUCGAAGACGAUCAGAUACCGUCGUAGUCUUAACCAUAAACCUAUG